UCCUGCUGCGCCUUCAGGGGAUGCUGGUGU
rnacentral:piRNA from 1 species